GGCGCAGCGCGAGGUGACCCCACCCCUCCUGUGAGUCGCCGCGGCGCUCCCUCUUCCCGCCCGCCCCGCUCCGUCCCCUCAGGCCCCGCUGCCCCUUCCCGCCGCGCCCGCCCCGUUACAUCCCCUCUGUGCCUGCCGCUGCAGCCUGAGGAGAAUUUAACGGGAGAGUUCGUGGUGGGGGGCUGAGCCGGAGAAACUCCAGCUUCGAAACUCCUGGUUGUGCGGGGUACUGUGGUGCUGUAACAGCUUCAGAUGUAUCUGCAACCCACAGAACAAUACACCAUGAGAAGCUGCCUUGUCUGCCACAGGAAUUCAGUUUGCCAGUCCUCUUCAAAACAAGCCUCCUUUUUGGGACAGGAUUUGGCCAUAUGAAGAUCUGCCUCAGCUUCUCUGCAGGCUCUGAUAUGAGCCUGGCAAAUCUACGCACCCUGGAAGAG
rnacentral:lncRNA from 1 species